rnacentral:rRNA from 1 species
CCUACGGGUGGCAGCAGUGGGGAAUAUUGCACAAUGGGGGGAACCCUGAUGCAGCGAAGUCGCGUGAGUGAAGAAGUAUUUCGGUAUGUAAAGCUCUAUCAGCAGGGAAGAAAAUUACGGUACCUGACUAAGAAGCCGCGGCUAACUACGUGCCAGCAGCCGCGGGAAUGCGUCGGGGGCAAGCGUUCUGCAGAUUUACUGGGUGUAAAGGGAGCGUAGAGGGCUGUGCAAGUCUGGAGUGAAAGGCGGGGGCCCAACCCCCGGAGUGCUCUGGAAACUGGAAAGCUGGAGUGCAGGAGAGGUAAGCGGAAUUCCUAGUGUAGCGGUGAAAUGCGUAGAUAUUAGGAGGAACACCAGUGGCGAAGGCGGCUUACUGGACUGCAACUGACGUUGAGGCUCGAAAGCGUGGGGAGCAAACAGGAUUAGAUACCCUGGUAGUC